AGAGUUUGAUCCUGGCUCAGAGUGAACGCUGGCGGCAGGCCUAACACAUGCAAGUCGAGCGGCAGCACGGGGGCAACCCUGGUGGCGAGCGGCGGACGGGUGAGGAAUACAUCGGAAUCUGCCUUAUUGUGGGGGAUAACGUAGGGAAACUUACGCUAAUACCGCAUAAGACCGAAAGGUGAAAGUGGGGGACCGCAAGGCCUCACGCGAUAAGAUGAGCCGAUGUCGGAUUAGCUAGUUGGUGAGGUAAUGGCUCACCAAGGCGACGAUCCGUAGCUGGUCUGAGAGGAUGAUCAGCCACACUGGAACUGAGACACGGUCCAGACUCCUACGGGAGGCAGCAGUGGGGAAUAUUGGACAAUGGGCGCAAGCCUGAUCCAGCCAUGCCGCGUGGGUGAAGAAGGCCUUCGGGUUGUAAAGCCCUUUUGUUGGGGAAGAAAUCGUACGGGGUAAUAUCCCGUGCGGAUGACGGUACCCAAAGAAUAAGCACCGGCUAACUUCGUGCCAGCAGCCGCGGUAAUACGAAGGGUGCAAGCGUUACUCGGAAUUACUGGGCGUAAAGCGUGCGUAGGCGGUUCGUUAAGUCUGUCGUGAAAGCCCUGGGCUCAACCUGGGAAUUGCGAUGGAUACUGGCGAGCUAGAGUACGGUAGAGGAUGGUGGAAUUCCCGGUGUAGCGGUGAAAUGCGUAGAGAUCGGGAGGAACACCCGUGGCGAAGGCGGCCAUCUGGACCAGUACUGACGCUGANGCA
rnacentral:rRNA from 1 species